UUAAUUGAAGCCAAAAUAUAGAGGCAUAUCACUGUUAAUGAUAUUAUUGAAUUUUAAUUCCAAUUAAA
rnacentral:tRNA from 1 species